UGAGGAAUAUUGGUCAAUGGGCGGGAGCCUGAACCAGCCAAGUCGCGUGAAGGAAGAAGGAUCUAUGGUUCGUAAACUUCUUUUGCAGGGGAAUAAAGUGCAGGACGUGUCCUGUUUUGUAUGUACCCUGAGAAUAAGGAUCGGCUAACUCCGUGCCAGCAGCCGCGGUAAUACGGAGGAUCCGAGCGUUAUCCGGAUUUAUUGGGUUUAAAGGGUGCGUAGGUGGUUUGAUAAGUCAGCGGUGAAAGUUUGCAGCUUAACUGUAAAAAUGCCGUUGAAACUGUCGGACUUGAGUGUAAAUGAGNUAGGCGGAAUGCGUGGUGUAGCGGUGAAAUGCAUAGAUAUCACGCAGAACUCCGAUUGCGAAGGCAGCUUACUAAGCUACAACUGACACUGAAGCACGAAAGCGUGGGGAUCAAACA
rnacentral:rRNA from 1 species